CAAGAGGAGAGAAAGAAGGGGAAAGCAGAGAAUUGUAAGAGGGAAUGAAUUUGUGAUGCUGGACGAAAGCAACUUCUACCACAAAAGGAAGUAUGGAAGGGGGAGAUUUGGAGCUACCUGGAGGAGGAGAAAAUGGGUCUUCUGAAUGCUGGGAAUCAAAGGAAGAAGGAGAAGACCCAUCCUCAGGCUGGUAACAAAAAGGUCCUCCACAGUCGCCCCAUCAGUCCCUGGCAGUCUGGUUCCUGGAGCAGCUGGCCCUGGAUCACCUGCCCCUGGAUCACCUGCCCCUGAAUCACCUGCCCCUGGCAAAGUGGCCUCUUGAUUGCUCUCUCUGUCUCCUGUCAUGUCCUUUUCAUCGCUCUUGAAAUCCACCUCAAUUUCUCCC
ensembl:lncRNA